GUGGGCACAGGGUGGGCAAUCGGCGGGUAGCAGGCGAUGCAGCCGGGCUGGGAGCAGGCCUCGAGGGGGGAGCAGGCUGGCGGAGGAGACAGGCACAAAGGAGGGCAGUGCCAGGCAACCGGCACAGGCAGCGCUGCCACCGCCCCAGCCGCCGGGCCUGGCCUGGGCUCCGUGGGGGACGCGCGUGCAUGGGGCCCUGCAGGAGCGGCAGACGCAGAGCAGAGGCCAUAGGGCCAGCCUCGCAGCACAGCGCGGCACAGCACAGGGGAGGAAGGGCCAGGCAAGGCAGGCGGGGCCCGGGGCUGUCAAGGAGAAAAACAUCCCAAGGCCUGCAAAUUGCUGCUCUCAGCUUCCCCCCUCCUCCUCCUCCUGCUUGGGGGAAAAAAAAGUAGAGCUUCCUCCGGAGGCGGAUGCAAGAGGAUACAGAAUUUUAACCAUCUCCUGCACCUACCCGAGCUGGGUUGGGCCCAGGCUCGGGGGUGGCAUGAGGGAAGGGGAUGGCGGGAGGAGAUGUGUCUGUCCUGGGCCUGCAGCACCCCCCACCCCCAGCAGGAGUACGUGGAUGGGGUCACAGCCCCAGCUCCCGAGCAGGCCCAGCAUGUCAUGGACUGUGGGCACAGUGCCAGUUGCUGCCAUGAUUUUGCACCUACUUGCAGGGCUCCGCUCUUCGGGAUUGAAGGUGGCCAGGCUCCCAAUUGGGGGCACAGACUUGGUGCUGGGGGAGCCUCUGUUCCCCAUAGCUUCCUGGUCCUUUCUCAUAACCGACUUUUGUGUUUUAAAAAUAAAGCAGGGUGCUUCCAGGCACCCGGUAAGGACCUUGGUGGCCCCUGUACACUCAGGGCAAGACUUAAGGAGCAAGUUCUAAGUGAGGAAGGCAGUCCAAGCAAUGCCAGGGCAGGCCAGCCCCACAUGCAGAGGGGAGCUGCCGCCGGCUGGGUGAGAUGUAGGGUCUUGGGGACUGUGCCGGGUCCUGUGCCCACCAGCUACAGCACUGAAGACCCAGAGAAUGUCUUGAUGUUAAUUUCUUCUAUCAUCAGAAAGAAAAAUGACUAUAAAAAUAAUGGAUACAUAGUAAUGAAUUCAGCCUAGGUCAUAUUGGUCAGCGUAAUCAUAAAUUAUAAUUUUUCAUAUUUAUGGAGGAAGGAACCUGCGAAGGCAAAAGAGCUCUGGUCCAUGAAAAACAGAUGUGGCCCUAGCCGGGUCCUAUCUGUCCUGGGGCCAAGGGUCAGAUGUCUGGCUCUGGGGGAUCUUGGGGCCAUCAGGGGGCUCUGUGAAUCUGGCUUUCGAAGACUGGCAGGAUAAGGCGACUCUGCCUGUUGUGGAGGGGAGCCGAGGCCAGUGGUUGUGUGAGUGGUUGUGUGUGCAGGCCUUGCUGGUGUGCAUGCAUGUACGUUUUGCCAUGGCUUCCAGACAUCUGAGUAUGCAAGUCUUCAUUCUGAAAACAGGCAAAUGUGAGGCUGGCUCAUGUGACAGUGUGGCUGUGCCCUGGGGACACAGUGGGGCUGUGUCCUGGGCGGAGGCCGUUGUCUCCCCCAGAGCAGCAGACCUCGAGGCCUAGUCACACCCCUUGUACCUACAGCACAGCCCCGCCAUGUCCAGCAGGAACACCAUGCCGACCAGACAUGGCCACGUCUGCGACUGCAAGUGUCCCAGUGGCCACAUUUUUAAAAAGCAAAAAUAAAGAGGUCAUCGUGUAGAAGAAUCCCCACCUGGCUGGCUGAGACACUGUCACCUUCCACAGUGCGACAGACCUCCCAGCAGGACCCCAGCUGCAGCAUGCCCCUCCAGGGAUGGGGGCACCCGUGUAUGUGCAUUAUUCCCAAGCAAACCCAGCAGAAUCUCUGCUGAUCACAGUCCCUCCCUGGCUGUGGGCAUCGCUCGUAGUAAUGGGGACAACAUUGGGAACAACAGGAAGCAUACUGGAUCCCCAGGGAAACUGGCCUAGAAGCUGCUAUAGAGACACAGGAGACCAAGCGAGUCAACAAGCUGUGGUGUCUGUACUGCUCCAAACCUCAGCUUCCUCAGCUUAAAAUGAGAACAUUGCCCGGCCAUGCUUACCUCAGCCGAGGGCUGCAGAAGGGAACACGACAACGGCAGCCAGUGUUUGCCUGGCGAUGCUGCCCAGUUUCAUUUUCUGUUUUGAAGUGUUGCUCUACAGGGCGAAGUGCUAGGGACACAGGAGGCACCGCUACAGUCCCAAUAACUUUCCUGGCAAGAGACUAUGAUAUGGUGAUGAUACCAUUUCUCUUCAACUUCUAAGCAGCAACAAUAAUUAACUGCAUUCUUACUCGAACUGCAUCUAUGUCACAGAGCAUAGAUACAUCAAUAAUGUAGUCCUUUUCUGAUCCUGAAACAAUGUAUGCUCAAUGUAGAAAAUUUAAAAAAUACACAGGGGAAAAGUGUUCAAUCCUCUCACAAAAAGACAGCUCUGGUCACGGCUUCCUGUCCUUCCUUAUUGUUGGUUCUCGCAGUAUCUAUUUGUAGAUAACUCCACCAGGCUUUUCUGCCUGGUCCCCCUUGUCUCCUAUGCACUUCUCUCUGUCAGUGGUAGCAGUAGUUCCUCCUCUAGGGCUCAGGCCCGGGGUGUUCAGAGACCAGGCCUUGGGUCUCUGGCAGCAACCUGCCGUCUCUGCAAUUCUGGGAGCUCAGCUGGGACAGGCCAGACACAUGCAGAGCCAGGCUGCAGCUGUGGGAGACAGAUGGAAGGUGGCAGAAAUAUUCAUUAGGACAACACACAUGUAUUCGCAGACUGGCCCUGGGGCCCUGAUGUCUACACAUACCGAAACCCGAACCCGAAUCUGCAUCUGGACCCGGAUUCCGGACUGAGACCUGGAUCCUGGGCGCAGACGGAGCGCAGCAUCCACGCAGACGCGGACCUGGCUUCCACACCAGGAUCCUGGAAGCAAACCUAGACCCAGGACCCUGACGUCCACGCGGACACGAAUCUGGACCCGCAUCCUGACUUCGACGUGGACCGGGGCCCAGAUAGGAAUCACGGACUGGGACCCCAGACACAGACUCAGACCCGGCCCCUGGCUCCUGAUUCGGCCCAGAUGGCCCCGAACCUUGGAUGCAGACUCCGGGCUCAGCCCCAGAUGCGGCCUGGAUCCCAGCUUGACCGGCCGAGGCUCAGACCCAGACUUGGCUCCCGCCUGGCCCUGAUUGCUGCACGGCGGGGGCUCGCGAGACGCUGAGCCCACAAGCCGGACGCGCCGGACCCGGUGCCACUCGGAUGCGCUCCAAGCACCCCCGACCCCGACCAGGCCCCGCCCUGAGCCCCAGCCCCGGCUCCCUAGCUCCGUGCAACCAGCGUGCGGCCGGGGCGGGAGCGCCUCUGCUUUCCCCUGCGAUGGUGCAGCCCCCCUCUGCAGGGCCGUGAGGACUCGGAUGGAGAGGGAAGGUAUUUGCUCUUGGUUGUUUUUUUUUCGCCCUUUAUUCCUUCUGGGAAGCCAAAUUCUCCCGAAAGCAAAAGCAGACUCCCCUGGCCAGGGAAAGAAAACCUCAGACCCUUUUGCAGGUGGCUCUCUGCCCACUGCACCUUAGUCCCUCGGCAUCCAACCCUGCUGGUACCUGAGGUCACUUCCAGUGGCAUCCGGAUGCUGAGACUGAACGCAGCUAGCAUUAAAUUCAGGCUGUGACCACUGUCUGGUUUGGGUUGUUUUCCCUCAAAUGUUGGACAAAGUUACCAGCUUGGGCGAUUUGGCAACUUGGAGAGACCUUGUUUCAAAAUAAAUAAAAAGGGCUGGGGAUGUAGCUCAGUGCAAAGGCUCUGAACUCAGUCCUCAGGCCCCUCGCUCCCUCCAAAAAAGAAAAGACAAAGCCAAACAAAGAAAAGAAAAAAGUUGAAGAAGGUUAUAAUUUUAUCCCAAGGAGCUUUUGAGACUCAGAUUCGUGUGAUUUUUUUAAAA
ensembl:lncRNA